rnacentral:rRNA from 1 species
CCUACGGGAGGCAGCAGUGGGGAAUAUUGCACAAUGGGGGAAACCCUGAUGCAGCGACGCCGCGUGAGUGAGGAAGUAUUUCGGUAUGUAAAGCUCUAUCAGCAGGGAAGAAAAUGACGGUGCCUGACUAAGAAGCACCGGCUAAAUACGUGCCAGCAGCCGCGGUGAUACGUAGGGGGCAAGCGUUAUCCGGAUUUAUUGGGGGUGAAGGGGGGGUAGACGGCUAAGCAAGUCAGAAGUGAAAACCCAGGGCUCAACCUUGGGACUGCUUGUGAAACUGAGUAGCUAGAGUGCAGGAGAGGUGAGUGGAAUUCCUAGUGUAGCGGUGAAAUGCGUAGAUAUUAGGAGGAACACCAGUGGCGAAGGCGGCUUACUGGACUGUAACUGACGUUGAGGCUCGAAAGCGUGGGGAGCAAACAGGAUUAGAUACCCUUGUAGUC